ACGCUGGCGGCGUGCCUAAUACAUGCAAGUAGAACGCUGAGGUUUGGUGUUUACACUAGACUGAUGAGUUGCGAACGGGUGAGUAACGCGUAGGUAACCUGCCUCAUAGCGGGGGAUAACUAUUGGAAACGAUAGCUAAUACCGCAUAAGAGUAAUUAACACAUGUUGGUUAUUUAAAAGGAGCAAUUGCUUCACUGUGAGAUGGACCUGCGUUGUAUUAGCUAGUUGGUGAGGUAAAGGCUCACCAAGGCGACGAUACAUAGCCGACCUGAGAGGGUGAUCGGCCACACUGGGACUGAGACACGGCCCAGACUCCUACGGGAGGCAGCAGUAGGGAAUCUUCGGCAAUGGACGGAAGUCUGACCGAGCAACGCCGCGUGAGUGAAGGAGGUUUUCGGAUCGUAAAGCUCUGUUGUUAGAGAAGAACGUUGGUAGGAGUGGAAAAUCUACCAAGUGACGGUAACUAACCAGAAAGGGACGGCUAACUACGUGCCAGCAGCCGCGGUAAUACGUAGGUCCCGAGCGUUGUCCGGAUUUAUUGGGCGUAAAGCGAGCGCAGGCGGUUCUUUAAGUCUGAAGUUAAAGGCAGUGGCUUAACCAUUGUACGCUUUGGAAACUGGAGGACUUGAGUGCAGAAGGGGAGAGUGGAAUUCCAUGUGUAGCGGUGAAAUGCGUAGAUAUAUGGAGGAACACCGGUGGCGAAAGCGGCUCUCUGGUCUGUAACUGACGCUGAGGCUCGAAAGCGUG
rnacentral:rRNA from 1 species